rnacentral:rRNA from 1 species
GAGCGGCGAACGGGUGAGUAACACGUGAGUAACCUGCCCUGGACUUUGGGAUAACCCUCGGAAACGGGGGCUAAUACCGAAUACGACACAGUUUUGCAUGAGGUNUGUGUGGAAAGUUUUUCGGUCUGGGAUGGGCUCGCGGCCUAUCAGCUUGUUGGUGGGGUGAUGGCCUACCAAGGCGACGACGGGUAGCCGGCCUGAGAGGGCGACCGGCCACACUGGGACUGAGACACGGCCCAGACUCCUACGGGAGGCAGCAGUGGGGAAUAUUGCACAAUGGGCGGAAGCCUGAUGCAGCGACGCCGCGUGAGGGAUGACGGCCUUCGGGUUGUAAACCUCUUUCAGCAGGGACGAAGCGUGAGUGACGGUACCUGCAGAAGAAGCGCCGGCCAACUACGUGCCAGCAGCCGCGGUAAGACGUAGGGCGCGAGCGUUGUCCGGAUUUAUUGGGCGUAAAGAGCUCGUAGGCGGCUUGUCGCGUCGUCCGUGAAAACCUGCAGCUCAACUGCAGGCUUGCGGUCGAUACGGGCAGGCUAGAGUUCGGUAGGGGAAGACUGGAAUUCCU